rnacentral:rRNA from 2 species
GUGAGUAACACGUGGGUAACCUGCCUGUAAGACUGGGAUAACUCCGGGAAACCGGGGCUAAUACCGGAUGCUUGUUUGAACCGCAUGGUUCAAACAUAAAAGGUGGCUUCGGCUACCACUUACAGAUGGACCCGCGGCGCAUUAGCUAGUUGGUGAGGUAAUGGCUCACCAAGGCGACGAUGCGUAGCCGACCUGAGAGGGUGAUCGGCCACACUGGGACUGAGACACGGCCCAGACUCCUACGGGAGGCAGCAGUAGGGAAUCUUCCGCAAUGGACGAAAGUCUGACGGAGCAACGCCGCGUGAGUGAUGAAGGUUUUCGGAUCGUAAAGCUCUGUUGUUAGGGAAGAACAAGUACCGUUCGAAUAGGGCGGUACCUUGACGGUACCUAACCAGAAAGCCACGGCUAACUACGUGCCAGCAGCCGCGGUAAUACGUAGGUGGCAAGCGUUGUCCGGAAUUAUUGGGCGUAAAGGGCUCGCAGGCGGUUUCUUAAGUCUGAUGUGAAAGCCCCCGGCUCAACCGGGGAGGGUCAUUGGAAACUGGGGAACUUGAGUGCAGAAGAGGAGAGUGGAAUUCCACGUGUAGCGGUGAAAUGCGUAGAGAUGUGGAGGAACACCAGUGGCGAAGGCGACUCUCUGGUCUGUAACUGACGCUGAGGAGCGAAAGCGUGGGGAGCGAACAGGAUUAGAUACCCUGGUA